AAGAAGAGCUCCAGAUGAGUGUAUAAGCUCUUUUCUGGGAGAUACGAAGGACAAAUGUAGGUGCGCAUUCCACGUUCCUUGAGAGCAGCUCCAUUGGCCACUAGAUGCGUGCCAAACCGGAAGCCUUCCCCUCAGGCCCAAGGUCCAGGACGAGUCAACCGACCUCUUCUACUGAGAGAGGGGUGCGUUUCAAUCUCUGGCACCACCCUGACUGUGGUAUCUUGCCAGCACUGUGACUGUUAUAACCCCGUGGGACCCAGGCCUCUCCCAGGCCAUGAAACCCCUGUGAGCAAGGAAGGUCCCCUGGGCAGAGGCCGCAAAAAUCAGGGCACCAAAAGCAUGCGAAAGUUUCCUUCUGGAAGAUGGGGGUGGGGGGGGUGGGGGGGGUGGCUUGAGAGCACAGCAGAAGGGGAAGUGAGAAGAUAGUAUCCUCUGGCUGCGGUGAGAUGAGGGGGAGCGCCAAGACGGUGCCUCCCAAAAAAAAGAGAAGAAAAAGAAAGCCUAAUGUUAGGGAACCUGGUCUGGAUCACCCCGGGGAAGAACCAGGAGGCACUCCGAGAUCUUGGAAGGCAGGCGGUUUAUUUUAAGCCGGCUCAGAGGAGAUCACGCUCCGGAGACGGAGGAAUCCUGUGUAUCUUACUCCAGUCCUUCACUCCCUGAAGUGGAUACCAGCUCAGCUCUGUAGCUGGGUAGAACUGUUGGCUGGGAUCCUUACUAGAGCAUCACUGCAAGGAGGAUUGUGGUCUGCCAAGAUCUGAGUGCGACUGUUGUAAGCUCCACCUGCUUUUCUGUUUCAAUUUGAUCUUCAAUGGUCAAGUUUCACAGACUGCCUGAUUGAGCCUCCUGAGAAGUCUCCUGCAAUGCUAGGGGGAGUUGGAUGUCCACCUUGGGCUCUCUUUGUCCUACUGGAAUAAGUGUAAGCCUGGGCAAACUGUCUCAGUGCAGCACUGUGCUGGUCUGGAGGAGGGAUGAUGUGGUCAGAGUGUAGCUGUUCCUCUUACUCUUUUAAUAUGGUCCUUCCUGCUAUAUAUGGUCCAAGGGGUGCUUCAGACUCACCUCUGUGUUCUGGGUUUUUCACCAUGGUGUCUUAUCUAUGGAUAGUUGCUGGCUGGUCUUCUUGUAUAAGGCUAAAGUUGGUAACAGCCUAUGUUUCGAUCUUGAUGAUGUCAUUCCCCCAUAAAAAUAUUAGUGAAAACCAAUAAAAUGAAAAGCUAUAAGCAAUAGAUAAAAUGAAUAGAGUCCAAACUUGUCUUUAUGAAAAAGAUUAAUAAAAUUAAGGUUACUGAGACUAUCAAUACUAAUCAAGGAAAUAUGAAAGAAAGCAGAAUUUGAGAACAGAAGUGUAAAGAGACAUCAUUAUAGUUCAUUUAUAAAAGAAAAAUACAUCAAUAUGAGAUAAACAAAAUUUUGCAAAAAUGCUCAAUGAAUUAGACACAUGCAUAAAUUCCGUGAAAUAUA